GGGGAUGUAGCUCAGUUGGUAGAGUGCUUGUCUGGAAUGCACACAGCCCUGGGUUCAAUCCCCAGCACCCCCU
rnacentral:tRNA from 1 species